AGCUGAUGCGCAUGGCGGUCCUUCUCCUCCCAGUGCCGCCGCAGCAGCUGUUCCCCUCUGGAGGCUUUGACCUUCACACCUAGCAGGGCCCUGGACUCCAGAGGCCCUCUUUU
rnacentral:sRNA from 1 species